AUUGAACGCUGGCGGAAUGCUUUACACAUGCAAGUCGAGCGGCAGCGCGGGGCAACCUGGCGGCGAGCGGCGAACGGGUGAGUAAUACAUCGGAACGUGCCCAGACGUGGGGGAUAACUACUCGAAAGAGUGGCUAAUACCGCAUACGAUCUAAGGAUGAAAGCGGGGGAUCGCAAGACCUCGCGCGUUUGGAGCGGCCGAUGGCAGAUUAGGUAGUUGGUGGGGUAAAGGCUUACCAAGCCCGCGAUCUGUAGCUGGUCUGAGAGGAUGAUCAGCCACACUGGGACUGAGACACGGCCCAGACUCCUACGGGAGGCAGCAGUGGGGAAUUUUGGACAAUGGGCGAAAGCCUGAUCCAGCCAUUCCGCGUGCAGGAUGAAGGCCCUCGGGUUGUAAACUGCUUUUGUACAGAACGAAAAAGACUCUUUCUAAUACAGAGAGUCCAUGACGGUACUGUAAGAAUAAGCACCGGCUAACUACGUGCCAGCAGCCGCGGUAA
rnacentral:rRNA from 1 species